rnacentral:rRNA from 1 species
AUUGAACGCUGGCGGCAGGCUUAACACAUGCAAGUCGAGCGGGGGAAGGUAGCUUGCUACUGGACCUAGCGGCGGACGGGUGAGUAAUGCUUAGGAAUCUGCCUAUUAGUGGGGGACAACAUCCCGAAAGGGAUGCUAAUACCGCAUACGUCCUACGGGAGAAAGCAGGGGAUCUUCGGACCUUGCGCUAAUAGAUGAGCGUAAGUCGGAUUAGCUAGUUGGUGGGGUAAAGGCCUACCAAGGCGACGAUCUGUAGCGGGUCUGAGAGGAUGAUCCGCCACACUGGGACUGAGACACGGCCCAGACUCCUACGGGAGGCAGCAGUGGGGAAUAUUGGACAAUGGGGGGAACCCUGAUCCAGCCAUGCCGCGUGUGUGAAGAAGGCCUUAUGGUUGUAAAGCACUUUAAGCGAGGAGGAGGCUACUUUAGUUAAUACCUAGAGAUAGUGGACGUUACUCGCAGAAUAAGCACCGGCUAACUCUGUGCCAGCCGCCGCCGUAA